UCAUCAGGCCGGGUAAUUACUUGUUUUUCUUUUUGAAGGAUAGAUUAGAACAUGAUAACUAGAGUUUGCAUGAUACAUGAUUACCAUCUCUGUGUAAUAAAAAAAAAUAAAUAUUGUUGUUGGGAU
rnacentral:snoRNA from 1 species